GAAGAACGCAGCGAAAUGCGAUACGUAGUGUGAAUUGCAGAAUUCCGCGAAUCAUCGAGUUUUUGAACGCAAGUUGCGCCCGAGGCUUGUCCAAGGGCAUUUCCGCUAGAGCGUCACC
rnacentral:rRNA from 1 species